UCAGGAAGAAAGCUUGCUUUCUUUGCUGGCGACCGGCGCACGGGUGAGUAACACGUAUCCAACCUGCCCUUUACUCGGGGAUAGCCUUUCGAAAGAAAGAUUAAUACCCGAUGGGAUAAUUAUUCCGCAUGGUUUGAUUAUUAAAGGAUUCCGGUAAAGGAUGGGGAUGCGUUCCAUUAGGUUGUUGGUGAGGUAACGGCUCACCAAGCCUUCGAUGGAUAGGGGUUCUGAGAGGAAGGUCCCCCACAUUGGAACUGAGACACGGUCCAAACUCCUACGGGAGGCAGCAGUGAGGAAUAUUGGUCAAUGGGCGCUAGCCUGAACCAGCCAAGUAGCGUGAAGGAUGAAGGCUCUAUGGGUCGUAAACUUCUUUUAUAUAAGAAUAAAGUGCAGUAUGUAUACUGUUUUGUAUGUAUUAUAUGAAUAAGGAUCGGCUAACUCCGUGCCAGCAGCCGCGGUAAUACGGAGGAUCCGAGCGUUAUCCGGAUUUAUUGGGUUUAAAGGGAGCGUAGGUGGACUGGUAAGUCAGUUGUGAAAGUUUGCGGCUCAACCGUAAAAUUGCAGUUGAUACUGUCAGUCUUGAGUACAGUAGAGGUGGGCGGAAUUCGUGGUGUAGCGGUGAAAUGCUUAGAUAUCACGAAGAACUCCGAUUGCGAAGGCAGCUCACUGGACUGCAACUGACACUGAUGCUC
rnacentral:rRNA from 1 species